rnacentral:lncRNA from 1 species
CUAAAGAUGAAAGUUGGGAAACUACAACUUGGUGUUACACAUCAGAUUCCACCAGCCAAAUUUACUAAAACUUUGGGUUUAAGAAACGGUAGUUUCUCUUGGCAUGCACUUCUAUAUUUUUAUUAAAUUUUUUUCAUAAAUAUUCUUCUAAAUAUCGAAUUUUGCAUGAAUAUCUUUUAAAAUUUGAUAUUUGCAUAUAUAUCUUCGUAAAACAUUUUCUUUACUAUACUACCAUUUUUAUCUAUAUUUUUGCAUAAGUACCCACGUCAUCUAAAGCCGUUAAAAAAUUAAUGGUUUUAAUGGCUAAAUGUGCAAAAAAAAAACUGUUGUGGUUCAAAUUUGGCCCAAGGGUGACCACGCCAGUGGAGCCGAGGGAGCCGCCGGUGGUUGGAAGAAGAAGAUAGGUGAUGCCGCACCAAAUCUGGAGGAAAAACUUCAGUGGGAUUUAAAUCAGAACAGAAGAAGAGGGAGAAGAGAAAGAGGAGGAGGAGGAGAAGAGGAGAAGAGAAGAAGAGAGGAGGAGAAUAGGUGGAGAGAAAAUGUCUAAUUCUUCAUUAAACCCUAAUCAAGAAAAUAGUUCCCUAUAUAUAGGGCCCAAAUACACAAUUUGCAUGAAACCCCCCUUACACAAAAAUAACUCCUAAUAAGCCCACAAAUAACACAAAUAAGCCCUAAAAUGCAAAUGAACCCAGAAAUAAAAUAAACCACAAAUAAAUCCCUAAAUGCAAAUAAAUCCAGAAAUAAAAUAAAAUAAAUAUGCAAAUAAACGGGUCUGAUUCAAUCCGGGGGCUCAGGAUCAUCUGGAUGAAGGGCUCUGAUGUCCCCAUCA